GACGGCAGAGACAGAGGACAGCAGACACACAGGACGGCAGAGACUGAGGACAUCUCUUCUUACCUGCGGUGGUAACAAAAGAUGAAGCAACACAUUUUAUUCUUUAGGGGACACUCUGGAGGUUCAGUCCAGGACUCUCCUUCCUCUACUCUUGCACAUUAGCCAAGUUUCAAACGAGUUCUCCGUUAGCUGCAGGCUAAACAGUGCGACUUCCGGUCUCCACACUCUGCUGUCUGUAAAAGGUUCCUGUGUCAUGAUGUGAAAAGAACCGAAGUUCUAGCUGAGACAAAAAUCCACAGAACCACAGAAAGAGGAGGAUGAGGCUGUGGUUCUGUCGGAAGAGAGAAACUGGUAUCUAGCAGGUUGCCAUAGGAGGCUGUUGCCAUGGUGAUGCAUCCAGUACUCUUGACAAUUCCCGCCUGCAGAAACACAAUAAAAAAAAAUAAAAAAAGUUAAU